rnacentral:tRNA from 1 species
GGAGAGGUGCCCGGAGUGGUUGAUCGGGGACCAGCGAGAGGUCGGAUCCGCGAGGGUCCACGCAGGUUCGAAUCCUGCCCUCUCCG